AUGCUCACCCUCAUUCACCUUCCUCAACCCUCCAUCAGCAUCAAUUCUUCGCGUCUUCUUCACACAACUUCAGGUACAUCAUCUUCAACACUCUUGCAACAUAACAAAUCCUCACCAUCCAUUUUUAUAACUAACUUUCAUAAUUCUAAGGCUCAGAUUCAUUCACUUGUAACAAACUUCCCAAGCCUCUAA